rnacentral:lncRNA from 1 species
AACCAAAAGUAACUAGGGUUUUAAAUAUACUAACUCUUAUAUGAGAAUAACAUGAACAAAACAUAGUAAAAUCAUAAACACAUUAAAAUCAGAGAAAAUAUUUUAAAAAAGAAGAACUCGAAGGAAAACCCUAAUCAGAAAAGAUGAAGAGCCAUUUUUUAAAAGCAAAGUUAAAGAAGCUUCGAGAAGAUAUUAAAAACUUCAUGGCAAGCAAGGAUCUAAGGUAGAUUCGAAAGAAGUCAAAACGAUCUUACAUAUUAGGAUUUCAGAAGAACCCAAAAGCAAGAAAUAGGCCUUGAAAGUUACCAAUCUAAACAGGAGAGUCAAACGUCUGACUCGAAUGGACAUAGUUGGCCAGAGAAACAUAGAGAUGACCAGAGAAAGGUCAUCGAGCAAAGACUAGACCAAGUCCUUUCAGAAUCUGGUCCUGAGACUACAGUACCUAACCCAUGAAGUAGUGGAAGGCUGGUAUAGUCUCAGAUGACCUAAAAAGGCCAUGGAUUAGGGUGGAUUAGGGUGGCGACGGCUAGGAUUUGAGGGUGUUGUAGAGAGAAUUUGGGAGAGAAGGU